rnacentral:tRNA from 1 species
AGAGACUUAGGUUAAAUAAACCAAGAGCCUUCAAAGCCCUAAACAGAGAUAUUCACCCUCUAGCCUCUG